AAUGGGAGGAUCUCUGCGGAAAAUUAAGCGCAAUGUGGCCACAACUGUACCAUACACCUGGCUUUACAUCAACGAAUGACAUCAUUCCUCAAUGUUUUGAAUGUGAGAAUGAAAUGCCACAGAAUACAGUGAGAAGUCCGGCAGAACUGUGAGCAGGUUCACUGAUUAUUACCUGUUUUUCAUCAUACGGAAUUCCCUCUUGCGUAACGCCUCCUCGGACACCUGCUGAGGGCUGGGCAGAGAGCCAGGUGAGCUGCCCAUUUCCUGGGAAAGGCCAGAGAACACAAAGGAAGAUAUUCUGAAGAAAAUAAGCAACCUAACAACAUUGGCCCUCAUUGACUUCUAUUUUACAGACACUAAACCACUGAGGCGUUUCUCAAAAUAUCUCUUCAGUGUUUCACAGAAACCAUUAAAAAUGGCCGAUUUUUUUAUUUUUGGGUGAACGAUCACUUCUACAUCUGGAGAUCAUACUGAAGUCUGAUGUCUAUAAAUAUCACCAUGUAGAUAUAUGUAGGCUAUGAAUGACUGAAGGCUUUGAAUUCAUUUCCUCUGGAGGUCUGUCGACACAGCUCACUACAUCUCAAGUGUUUAUUAUGCACAUAUAUAUUGUGUUAUGGUCUCUGUGUACUGUUGUUGCUGUUUCUGUGUACUGGAUGCUCCUGUCACCAAAACAAAUUCCUUGUAUGUGCAAACAUACUUGACAAUAAAGCUCUUUCUGAUUCUGAUAUGUACAUGUGAGGUUACAAACUGGAUUACACUCCUGAUGUCCCAGUGCAACACAACACAUGUGACAACAAUGCAGUUCUGAUGAAAGCGAUGGAGGAAAACAAAGAACUUACAUAAAGAAAAUUUCAUCCUUUGAGACUUUCUAUCUUUCUUUCUUAAAUCAAUCAUCAAACAAUCAUAAUAAUAAUUCAUAAAUCGUACAAGUACACUGUAAGAUAUGCAAGUACUUUCAACAUUUCUCUGCAUGCCUUUGAUGCUUUCUUUGACGGCAGUGUAUCAAGAUGAUUAAUCUCUCGCAAAAGGAGCUGCCUGUAAUCACAGCAUGACUCUGAACUGACGUCAAUGUACAUCUUAUUCGCCGUUCAGCAUUUACAUUUCCCUGCUGGUGUCCAAUUCCAGGAAACAUGAUGACGUCAACUGCGCUGUGAGUGGGCAGCGCAUUCAAGCAUUUCAGAGAGAGAGAGAGAGAGAGAGAGAGAGAGAAAGCAAGCGAGGUGCUGCACUCAACAGGAAGGAAAAUUUCACUUGUGUGAAAAUUUCAAACUUUUAGCCUGUUGUGUACUGAGCAGAGCUUUCAUUUAACAAACAAGAGAGAACAAACACAUACGAAAAUAGUUUUCUCUGUACCAUGUCUGUUUGUGUCAAACAAAACAAAAGUCUCAAACAAAAGUCUGACAUCUGAAAUUUGACAUUUUGUCUCAACGUGUUAUCUGUCAAAUCUGUUGAAAUUAUCCAACCAAAUUCAUCAGCAAAUACGACCAAUAUCAACCACACUAUAAUAUCUCUAAGCAACCUUUAAAUAUAUUUAAAACAAGUUCAAAUUUAGUAAAAACUACAUGACAAACAAACAACAGC